UUGUUAGAGUAGAGCAACAUCUGCAGCCUAUGCUGAAGGAACUAUGUAUAACAGGCAUGUCUAACCCCUGUCUUUUGAUGUGGCAUCUCUUGUUGCCAUGGCAACACCUAAGACAAUCAGCAUUUUUGUGAACGACAAGCUACUUCUAAGUAUAUAAUUGGACAUUGCUACAGAACACCUACAUAGCACUUUUAAUGGAGUCCCUCACCAAUAUUGAAUCCUCCACUAUCAACUCCCACACCCAGGAUAAAACUGAUCAUCACUUGUUCAGCAACCUUACCCCCAAUAUUUGUGCAGUGUCAUCUAUCUCUUCCAAGCUCAGCUGUAGUUACAUAUACACAGAAUGCUGAUAAAAAAAAAAAAAA